UAAAUUCUCCCGUGUGUGUCUGCCACUGACCAUGGCCAUAUGAGGGCAGAGCUUUGUAACUGAUUAACAGGCCAGAGUAGGUUAUUUUGGAGGAAACCUGAGCAGAUGUGCAGUGGUGAGGGGGGGUGAAAUAACACUAUGGAUUAUGAUCCAGUGGCUCAGUGUAUAAAUUGCUGGUCAAGGGUUGUGAGGCAGCUGAGCUGAUGGGACACAGAACUGACUGCACCAGUACCUCCACCACAGCUGAGACCAGGGGACUGUUCCUGGAUGGAGGCCUCACCCAUGUCCAUGGAAGCAUCUGAUGAGAAUGGACCUAACUGGACACCGUUUCGCAUGGAAACCCCUCUGCCAUUCCUCG